rnacentral:rRNA from 1 species
GCGCAGCAGGCGCGAAUACUUUACAAUGUGCGAAAGCACGAUAAGGGAACUCUGAGUGCCUCCUAAGGAGGCUGUUCAGGUGUCUAAAAAGCACCUGAAGGAAGGGCUGGGUAAGACCGGUGCCAGCCGCCGCGGUAACACCGGCAGCCCAAGUGGUAGCCACGUUUAUUGGGUCUAAAGCGUCCGUAGCCGGCUGGGUAAGUUCCUUGGGAAAUUUGGCUGCUUAACAGUCAAGCUUUCAGGGAAUACUGCCCGGCUUGGGACCGGGAGAGGUCAGAGGUACUCCAGGGGUAGGGGUGAAAUCCAUUAAAUCCUUGGGGGACCACCGGUAGCGAAGGCGUCUGACCAGACCGGGUCCGACGGUGAGGGACGAAGGCUAGGGGCGCG